rnacentral:tRNA from 8 species
UAGCCAAGUGGAUUAAGGCAGUGGAUUGUGAAUC